rnacentral:rRNA from 1 species
UACGUAGGAGGCAAGCGUUGUCCGGAGUUACUGGGCGUAAAGCGCACGCAGGCGGUCGUGUCAGUCUGGGGUGACAGUUCCCGGCUUAACCGGAAAGGACUCUGGAAACUGCACGACUUGAGGGCUUCAGAGGGAUGUGGAAUUCCAGGUGGAGUGGUGAAAUGCGUAGAGAAUCUGGAAGAACACCAAAGGCGAAGGCAGCAUCCUGGGAAGUUCCUGACGCGUCGGGUGGC